GACGAACGCUGGCGGCGUGCCUAAUACAUGCAAGUUGAGCGCUGAAGGUUGGUACUUGUACCGACUGGAUGAGCAGCGAACGGGUGAGUAACGCGUGGGGAAUCUGCCUUUGAGCGGGGGACAACAUUUGGAAACGAAUGCUAAUACCGCAUAAAAACUUUAAACACAAGUUUUAAGUUUGAAAGAUGCAAUUGCAUCACCCAAAGAUGAUCCCGCGUUGUAUUAGCUAGUUGGUGAGGUAAAGGCUCACCAAGGAGAUGAUACAUAGCCGACCUGAGAGGGUGAUCGGCCACAUUGGGACUGAGACACGGCCCAAACUCCUACGGGAGGCAGCAGUAGGGAAUCUUCGGCAAUGGACGAAAGUCUGACCGAGCAACGCCGCGUGAGUGAAGAAGGUUUUCGGAUCGUAAAACUCUGUUGGUAGAGAAGAACGUUGGUGAGAGUGGAAAGCUCAUCAAGUGACGGUAACUACCCAGAAAGGGACGGCUAACUACGUG
rnacentral:rRNA from 1 species